UUUUAAAUGAACUGAGCUCUAUUUUGGAGGAAAUUAGCACUUUUUAAAUUUUAUGUAAUAUCUGUUUGUCUCCUGACAGCAUCUUUCUGGAGAACCUCACAACUACAAAUGAUUAAGGAACCUUGAGUCUAACAGCAAUCACACACGGCCACCUGAAUGGAAUGGGAGACCAUAAUGCUGAGUGGGAUAAGCCAGGCAUAGAAACACAGAGACAAUUAUCUCUCUGCUGCUUGGAAUAUCUAACAGUCUAAGCACAGAGGUACACUUGGAGAAGCACUCGAACAAAUCGUGGCGAGAAUUAAGUUGAAAUAUAUUGAGCAGCCCAGCCCCAAGGUACCCAUAUAAAACUACAGUGUAACCUUUGGAAAACUCUGAUGACCUUGUGAAUUGACCGGAAACAUCAAAGAAGGAGGUGAGGUUGUGCACACUGGAAACUCACAAGGAAGAGUCACUUUCUGGGGUGCAACAACGCGCUUUCUGCGUAAGUGUCUGUGUUACGGCAAAUCCUCGAGUUCGAUGAGCACAGAAAGGUCCCAGCGAGUGAUCAGUUUGAAAGGAAUUAUUUGGAACCAGAAUCCUCUUGCUUCUUUUAGAGUCUUCUUGCUUCCUGUAUGUGCACGCCCUCAAUACUUUAUUUGUAACAAGCAAAAGAAAUUUGAUUUAUUUCUUCCUGUCAUAUGAAAACUCUCAAGGGUCCAUAAGCUGGGAACCUGGUCAUCAAAAUGGAAAUCUGGGGAGAUUUUGAGGAGGUGGAGUCUAAUGACAAUUCAUCAGCUCUUUAGGGAUAUGACCUCAAAAGGGAUUAAAAUAUUUCCCCACGGAAUCCAGUUCAAUUCCAAUGAGAAAUGAGAAGAGAAGAUAAGAAAGAGAAAGCUCAUCCUGGCCAACUCUCCUUCCCAAUUUAAGUACGUUUGUUUAAGUCUACACAUACAUGUGAAGCUACUGCUGCCCUCACCAGGAGCUGAGCCAGCCAGGGCUUGCCUGAUCUUGGACUUUCAAUCUAAACUGUGGACUAAAUAAACUUUUCUUCUUCAAAAUAGCUUGCUUCUUGUAUUUCGUGACAGUAACGAAAAGUUGACCAAGAGAACUAACAUUUUGAUUUAAGUUUGUUUGUCCUCUUCUCUAGUCUCACUGUUUUUUGUUUUAAUGAUACCUAGUUCUGUAUGAUUCCUCAUACCCAUUUUAGAACAUUUUAGUCAACAAUGUUACAAUGUCAAAAGAAUGUGUAUUUCACAAAGGAAUAUUUCAUCGUCAUUUCCAGGUUUAAGUUUCUGGAAACUAAGCGAGUGUUGUUCACAUUAGAUUCGAUAGUCAGAUUGGCAUUUGUUGGGACGGUAUUAGUUUGGAAUAAUUCGUAUGUAUAAUAGAAUUAGAAUCCUCUUUCCUUUUGGAUCAGAUGGUGGUCUGUUUUGGACAAUUUUCCAAAUAUAUGUGUACCUAUGUUGCUCUGUAACUUAAAAUAGAGUGAUAAAACAUGGCUAAUUCUGUUUCUCUUGAGAAGUAUGUUCUUUAUCAUAACAGAGUUAAGAUUCUUGAAACAAAAUUUUUUGUGAAUAAAGUAACAGUGUGUGCUGUUUUGGAA